AAUUCUUCCAACGCCGUACAUGAAUGGAGGUUCCGUUGACUUCCAAUCUCGCCUCCUUCUCCUUCCAAUCUCACCUCCCUCCCCCUUCCAAUCUUGAUUCCCAGCUGCUGUGGCAUCGCCGCGUCGCCAGCGCUGCACUGGAGCCCGAUGGCUGGCAGAGAGAGGAAGGGAGGUCCCAAGAAGCAUCUGACUGUAGUGCAAAUUUCCCCAAUUUUACUGCUGACUGUAGUUGAAUUUUACUCUGAUCUCUAGCCUUCCUGAUUAAAAUAGCACUUCCAUGUUUCUUUAACGGAUUGACUGUAGUUGAAUUUCCCCAAAUAUGAUCUUUGAUGUAUCAAUAAACUAUAUCUUUAGAGCAUAUAUGGUUUUGAUCUGUAACAGUGCUCACAGUUGACACUCCAGGGAUCUCGCGAACUGGAAAAUGGAAGUAAAAUUGCUACAAGUUUACAAUUCCCUGUUGAUUCAGGACACAAGUAAUAUGACUGAUGAAGAGAAGGCUAGCCGAGUGAAGACAUUGCAAUGGAUGCAGAAGAAGAUCAUGGCUUUGAUGAGGAAGCAUGAGGUAUACAUAGCACUUUCUGAAAUUGUUCUAUAGAUUGUAGAAAAUCUGUCUCUGAAGUCAUAAUUAGCAUGCAGCCAUCCUUUUCAAAAAUGGAAAUUCAAUAUGCAACCAGCCAGCCAAAACAAAACUCUAUCUCUUAUGUCUGAACUUACUGCAUUCAAUUAAGAGCCUACGCUUAUGACUGCAAUUCAUCAUCUGCAUGAACAGAGGCAAAGGCAUGCUUAUGACAGCAUGACAGUAGCUAAUUGGAUUGUUCUUUUCGCAAAAUAAUUAGUAGCUACUUGUUUGUUCUUGUCUCACCUAGAAGAUGUAGCUUCAAUUGUUCAGUUAGCGCUGAAUCUGUUUUUAGAGCUUCAGUUCAAUUGUUCAUUUGUCUCUUUUUGCAAAAGUGGUUCUUGACAGUACCUACUUGUUUUUGGAGCUCGGUUUGUUUAGAUGGUCUGUUUCAGUAUCUUGAAGGCUUACAAUAUUUUGAUGUGCUAUUUUCAGUGGACAAAGUGGCAGGAAACAGGAAGAUGGAAGACAGUGGGUUUUUAAGUUUCUCAUUAUGUUAGUUUCAGUGGCAAUGGGAACUUUAGUUUGAAUCUGAACUGAAUGUAUGAGGUGGGCAAUUUAUUCCGAAUCUGAGACUGCACGUAUG
rnacentral:lncRNA from 1 species